rnacentral:ribozyme from 1 species
UUUUUUUUUUUUUUUUUUUUUUUUUUUUUUCCCCUGGCACACCUUGCGCAAUCACCAUCCAAAGAGCAUGGGAUGCUGGAC